GUCCCUGUAGCGCAUUGGAUAAUGUGGGUUGGACUUCUAAUCCAAAGGUCUUGGAUUCGAUUUCCACCUGGGAUG